rnacentral:tRNA from 1 species
CGGGAUGUAGCGCAGUCCGGUAGCGCGCUGCGUUCGGGACGCAGAAGUCGGGAGUUCGAAUCUCCCCAUCCCGA